rnacentral:misc_RNA from 1 species
UCCGGUUUGUCACCGGCAGUCUCGUUAAAGUGCCCAACCAAAUGAUGGCAAUUAACGACAAGGGUUGCGCUCGUUGCGGGACUUAACCCAACAUCUCACGACACGAGCUGACGACAGCCAUGCAGCACCUGUGUUCAGGUUCCCUUUCGGGCACAUCUCAAUCUCUCAAGACUUCCUGACAUGUCAAGGGUAGGUAAGGUUUUUCGCGUUGCAUCGAAUUAAUCCACAUCAUCCACCGCUUGUGCGGGUCCCCGUCAAUUCCUUUGAGUUUUAACCUUGCGGCCGUACUCCCCAGGCGGUCAACUUCACGCGUUAGCUCCGGUACUAAAUGGUUUUACCCACCCAACACCUAGUUGACAUCGUUUAGGGCGUGGACUAC